rnacentral:rRNA from 1 species
UACGGAGGAUGCAAGCGUUAUCCGGAAUGAUUGGGCGUAAAGCGUCCGCAGGUGGCUGUGUAAGUCUGCUGUUAAAGAGUCAUGCUCAACAUGAUAAGAGCAGUGGAAACUACACGGCUAGAGUGCGUUCGGGGCAGAGGGAAUUCCUGGUGUAGCGGUGAAGUGCGCAGAUAUCAGGAGGAACACCGGUGGCGAAGGCGGGUCUCUGGGCAACUACUGACGCUGAGGAGCGAAAGCGUGGGGAGCGAACAGG